GGGCACGUAGCUCAGUUGGGAGAGCGCCGCGUUCGCAAUGCGGAGGUCGUGGGUUCGACUCCCAUCGUGUCCA
rnacentral:tRNA from 1 species